rnacentral:rRNA from 1 species
AUUGAACGCUGGCGGCAGGCUUAACACAUGCAAGUCGAACGAGUGGCGGACGGGUGAGUAAUGUUUGGGAAACUGGCUGAUGGAGGGGGAUAACUACUGGAAACUGUAGCUAAUACCGCGUACCAUCGGAUGAGCCCAAGUGGGAUUAGGUAGUUGGUGGGGUAACGGCUCACCAAGCCGACGAGCUCUCGCUGGUCUGAGAGGAUGACCAGCCACACUGUGACUGAGACACGGCCCAGACUCCUACGGGCGGCAGCAGUGGGGAAUAUUGCGCAAUGGGGGCAACCUGACGCAGCCAUGCCGCGUGAAUGAAGAAGGCCUUCGGGUUGUAAAGUUCUGUCGGUAGCGAGGCGUUAACUACAGAAGAAGCACCGGCUAACUCCGUGCCAGCAGCCGCGGUAAUAC